rnacentral:rRNA from 1 species
GACGAACGCUGGCGGCGUGCCUAAUACAUGCAAGUAGAACGCUGAAGGAGGAGCUUGCUUCUCUGGAUGAGUUGCGAACGGGUGAGUAACGCGUAGGUAACCUGCCUGGUAGCGGGGGAUAACUAUUGGAAACGAUAGCUAGUACCGCAUAAUAGUAGAUGUUGCAUGACAUUUGCUUAAAAGGUGCAAUUGCAUCACUACCAGAUGGACCUGCGUUGUAUUAGCUAGUUGGUGGGGUAACGGCUCACCAAGGCGACGAUACAUAGCCGACCUGAGAGGGUGAUCGGCCACACUGGGACUGAGACACGGCCCAGACUCCUACGGGAGGCAGCUGUAGGGAAUCUUCGGCAAUGGACGGAAGUCUGACCGAGCAACGCCGCGUGAGUGAAGAAGGUUGUCGGAUCGUAAAGCUCUGUUGUAAGAGAAGAACGAGUGUGAGAGUGGAAAGUUCACACUGUGACGGUAUCUUACCAGAAAGGGACGGCUAACUACGUG